AAAAGGACACUUAAAAUUUUAAAUGUUUGUCUCCCUCACUUUACAGAUGGAAACUCUAUCACCAAGUGAUCCACCUCAGCGGGAAUACAAAUUACCUGUUCGUUCCAGCCCCUUUGCACUUUGCAUUAGCUAAAGAGCCCCUGGGAAAUACACAGUAGAGAGAGCGAGCACAGUGGGAGGAGCAGAGAGAGAAUCUCAAGCAGACUCCAUGCCAAGGGCAGAGCCCAAUCCUGAGACCUUGAGAUCACGACCCGAGCAGAAAUCAAGAGUCGGACGCUUAACCGACUGAGCCACCAAGGCACCCCUCUCCUGGGGUUUUCUGUCUCAAGAUUUUAUUUAUUUAUGAGACACACAGAGAGAGGCAGAGACCCAGGCAGAGGGAGAAGCAGGCUUCAUGCAGGGAGCCCGACGCGGGACUCGAUCCCAGGACCCCGGGAUGAUGCCCUGAGCCGAAGGCAGACACUCAACCGCUGAGGCAGCCAGGCGUCCCUGCAACAAAGAUUUUCAACUGCGAAGCUAUUCUCUGUUUCCCCUAGUGUACCGUGGAGGUAUUAGGAAUUUCAGUAACUGCUCUGAUUAAAAUCUCAAUGGCUAUCACUUUCAUAGGAAUGUCUAAAUAUCUUCACUCCGUUCAACAAGGGAUGGAGAACAACACCACUUUGGGAUGUAUUUUAAUUUUCUUUUGUGUUCACGCUUUCUAUACAAGCUACCUGGAGAAAAUUAAUUAAGCCGGGAGAGCUUUUAUGAGCCUAAUUAGAUGGAACUCAUCUUCAAAUGCCUGAGGAUCAUCCAAGGAGGGGGCUGAUCCUUUGAAGUAUGAAUUACGACAAGGCAGUAGCUGCGUUCGGUGGUUUGGUGGUUGCCCUCGAGUGUGCUCACAACCUGCGGCUGGGCCACGGGGCUGUGAUCUUGUUCUGAAGCUUGUUCAAUGUGCACCCAUGCAAGAAAGGUGCCCUUGCGGUGACGACGAGGUGGCUUCACGGGACGUGAAAAGCUCAUUGUCCAUAUGGUACGUUGCUCUGCACCGUGCAGACGUCUCGGGUAGGGGUCCUUCCAAGGAGACGCGUUAAGCAGGAACACCAUGAGCAUGUCAGGCUCCCGGAUUCUGGCUCACUGAGAAGUCCCGACCACGGGCAUCAGCCCCAGCCCCAUAGGUGAGGUCCCUUGCACUCUGCUGGGCUUCUUGGACAGUAGUUGCGACAAGCAGUCAAUGCACAAUGCAGCCAAUUCUUGACCAAGAGACUGAUCCACGGGCACAUGCAACAUGUAUGGGAAAGUGCCUAUUUCAAGGGCCUCUGAAUUGUUU